GACGAACGCUGGCGGCGUGCUUAACACAUGCAAGUCGAACGGAGCGAAUGAAAGCUUGCUUUUAUGAGCUUAGUGGCAAACGGGUGAGUAACACGUAGACAACCUGCCGACAGGAUGGGGACAACAUUCCGAAAGGAAUGCUAAUACCGAAUGAAGCGGAGGAGAGGCAUCUCUCUUCCGUGAAAGAUGGCCUCUUUUUAUGCUAUCACCUGUUGAUGGGUCUGCGUCUGAUUAGCUGGUUGGUGAGGUAACGGCUCACCAAGGCGACGAUCAGUAGCCGGUCUGAGAGGAUGAACGGCCACAUUGGGACUGAGACACGGCCCAGACUCCUACGGGAGGCAGCAGUGGGGAAUCUUCCGCAAUGGGCGCAAGCCUGACGGAGCAACGCCGCGUGAGUGAAGAAGGUCUUCGGAUCGUAAAGCUCUGUUGACGGGGACGAACGUGCGGAGUGCGAAUAGCGCUUUGUAAGACGG
rnacentral:rRNA from 1 species